rnacentral:lncRNA from 1 species
UUUUCCUGUAGUUGAAUGACCAAAGAAGCCAUCCUUGUUCCAUAAAUCUGUAAGAGAGUGGUGACUGCAAGAGAAAACUCACUAAACACACAGUAGAUUGUAAAUCUAUUGGACUAGAAUUUCUCCUUUAAUUAUAGCUGACACAGUAAUAACCCAGAGACACAGCCCAAGUUUCUAGGAUUUGAAAGAAUCAUUAUGAAUUCCUCUAAUUCCACUCUUUGUGUAUGUGAUGAUUAGAAAGGAGAAAGGUUUGUGAUAAAAAACUGCAUGAUACUGGUACAGAGACAGGCAGGUAGAUCAGUGGAAUAGAAUUGAAGACCCAGAAAUGAACCCACACACCUAUGGUCACUUGUUCCUUGACAAAGAAGCUAAAACUCCAAUGGAAAAAAGAUAGCAUUUUCAACAAAUGGCUUUGGUUCAACUGGACAUCAGCAAGUAGAAGAAUGCAAAUCGACCCAUUAUUAUCUCCUUGUACAAAGCUCAAGUCCAUGUGGAUCAAGGACCUCCACAUAAACCCAGAUCCACUGAAACUAAUAGAGAAAUUGAGGAAGAGCCUCAAACACAUGGGCACAGGGGAAAAUUUCCUGAACAGAACACCAAUGGCUUAUGCUCUAAGAUCUAGAAUUGACAAAUGGGGCCUCAUAAACUGCAAAGCUUCUGUAAGGCAAGGGACACUGUCAUUAGGACAAAAUGGCAACCAACUGAUUGGGAAAAGAUCUUUACCAAUCCUACAUCUGAUAGAGAGCUAAUAUCCAAUAUAUACAAAGAACUCAAGAAUAGUUAGACUCCAGAGAGCCAAAUAACCCUAUUAAAAAUGGGGUACAGAGGUUGGGGAUUUAGCUCAGUGGUAGAGCGCUUGCCUAGGAAGUGCAAGGCCCUGGGUUCGGUCCCCAGCUCCGAAAAAAAAAAAGAACCAAAA